UUUUAGGAUGUAUUCUCUCUCUAUUUAUAUAUCAAAGAGAAAAAAUAUAAAUAUAAAAAGAGAGAGUUCCUCCAUGUCCGAGAUCGAGCGAGCGAUAAAGGAAACAAAGGUGACGCCGGCAAAGACUCCGGCAGAUUCUGCGUUCGGAUCUCCACCGGAGAACCGUCCAAUCCACCACCGGACGCAAGCCUCCUCCAUCUCUGCCUCUUGCUUCUCCUCCGCCUCCCCCUCCCUAUCUCCUUUCGCCGCCCACCGAUUCUUCCCCUCCUCCACCAUCCCCUUCUCCUGGGAGCACCUCCCCAGCGUCCCUAAAAGCCCCAAAUCUCACUCCCCCACCUCCUCUUUUGCUGCCGACCCUCACAUCCUACUCCUCCCUUGCCCCCGCUCCGAUCCAAAUCGGACGUCCUCCGCUUCGACCCCGUCACCGUCAACAUCGACGCUGCCCGCCUCCGCUUCCUCCCCACCUCCGGCACUCCCAAUGCCACCGCGCACCCCCUCCUCCACCGCCAUCAGCUUCGUCGCCGUUCAGGAUUGAUGUAGCUGACCUCAAAACAGGUGGCAUAAGGCUUUUAUAUUUAUGGUGACUGAUGGUCAACUUUGCCUUCCAAUUUAAAAAGCUGUUCUAGUGUUAACCCUGUGGAUGUGUUUGUAGCUUUAAGUGUUGCUUUUCUGGUUGUCCCAAUCACCAUGCGACUAAGUUACUAUAUGUAGUUUCUAAGGAAUUAUUUGCCAUGUUGAGAAGAGCGCAUAUGAAGUCUUGGUGCUUCUUUGAUAUUUUUGCAGAUUAUUCUCCUCAUUUCCCCCAAUAUAACUGAUUUGAAAGAAGAGAAACUUCAGGAUUUUAUUAUGCUGCCUGAUUGUUAAAAGUUUGUUUUAUAAUGUUCAUCUUAUGUCAGAGUCGAGGGUAUCCUGAAUUCCGAUACACUAUUUCUAUUUUUGUUAUGGGAGCCCACUUAGCUCAGAGGUUGGAGCAUCGUAUUUGUAAUGCGAUGGUCAUCAGCUCAAUUCCAAUAGCCUUUUUUUUUUUUUUGGCUCUAUCGAAUUUUCCAUGAUCGAUAUUCUCUCUUUCGCUAAAAAGAUUGUGAGAGAGUGAUGGAAACUCUAACCCUGUCAAGGUGAUUUGUAUUUUGCUCCUCUUUUCUCCUUGCCUGCAAGGAUUUUAUUGUAUUCUUUCCUCCCUUUCUAAUAAAGACUGGUGGUCUGUGGCCUCCAUUUUAGUCAAUAAAAAUUGUACAUCUACAUAUAUUCUUCAUCUCAAGAUGUUCAUCUGAGACAUUGGCAGAGUUAUUGUCAUGCGAGGCCCAAGUCUCUGCAAUUUUGUUGAAUUGAGAGGGUACAAAUUUGUAUUCAGAAGGUAAUUUGAUGAAGAGGUAGUAAUUUCAGCCUACUGCUCUGACUGCUGCUGAUAUAUUGUCUGUUCAGAAGGCAGAUCUGUAUACCUUGCAACCUGGUGAUCAUUUUACUUACAGAUAUGCCUGCCCUUUACUUCUGCAUGUGCAUCGAUUUGGAUGACAACGAACUGGAGAUCCUUGAAAUCAUUCAUUAUUAUAUUGAGACAUUGGACCAUUAUUUUGUAAGUAUGAGUCAGGUCUUCUAAUCGUAUACUCAAGGAAUACAUAUCAAGCAUAAUUAUGACUAUAUUCUUUCAAACUUUCUUACUCUUUUCGCAUUUUCAGCUUUGUGAGCUGGAUUUGAUCUUCAAUCUUCAUAAAAUACUUUCUUGCAUCUCCUUGCACGGAGCAUGUUAUUUGUAUCUCUUUGUUUUUCGCAUCCUUUGUUGGAUGAGAAUCUGAUUGCUGGUGAACUUCAAGAGUCGAGCAAGAGAACUGUUGCGGUAUGUGUCGCCGCACAAGUGCUUACACUAUGAGCGAUGACAAAUUAUUCUCAUAGUGGAAAUUACAAAGGAAAAAGGAAUCACGAUGUUGGUUCUCUUGAAUUUCUGUAAGGACAAAAUAGUGUUUUUCUCAGUAUCGAUCAUUCAAGUAUCUAAUUCCUUGCCAUGCUGCCUUUCCUUAGUAUCUCUGAAUAGUAAGAAAGGGAAAAUUCUUGGACCCCAAUCAUGCGACUCUAUGAUCCACAUGUAACUCUGCCAAUUAUCAAGCACUACGGAUGGAGAAGCACCGUGUUGAUCAAGUAGUUAAUGUGCAUAUUGUCACAUAUUUGGGAAACCAGCUGAUGUUACUUGCAGGGUAAUGACUGUUCUUUAGCAGGUCUAUUUUGCUCUGCAGGGUUCACUGGUUGAAACAGCAAAAGACCAGGCUGGUUUGAUGAGCAAUGCGAUUUGCAUAGGCCAUCAAGUAGAGAAUAUUAUGGUUUCAUGGUGCUCAUUUUCUUUACCUUCACCUCAUUUGAAUGGGACACAUUAGUGUUGCCUCUUUAUUCUUCUUUCUUUUUUGGCUUAUUUGUUUCCUUCUCUUUUGUUCUGCCCGGCAUGUUUGAAGUAAUAGUUAUAUUAUUCCAUUAAUUCUUUCUAUCAUUUAUCUCCAAUCUUGGUACUAAAACCUAGACUAAACUGAGGCUUCUGUUCUUUGUGCAAAACCAGUUUCAAGUCUUGCAUGAAAGCCUUUUGCGACAUUCCUUCAGUUUUGCCUCCAUUGCUGACAUUUUCAGCAUGAAGGCAAGCAGAAAUGCUUCAAACUUGUAUUGAUAUAUGUUAGGCCCUGUUUG